UUAGAAAAAGCCAAAUUAGAGGCCCUUCAUUGUUAAUGAAGAAAUUGGUAUUAGCACCUUUCUAAA
rnacentral:tRNA from 1 species